rnacentral:lncRNA from 1 species
AGUUUUCUUUGUUAUAGGCUGUUGUUCAGACGUCGAGGUAUCCAUGGUAAAAUCUAUUUCCCCCCGCAGCCGGUGGGCUUGUCUCAUCAUUCUCGAUUUACACAACGACAACAUUUUGUGUUGCAGUUUUCUUCGCUGUUUUAUUGUCCUUUGUAUAGAGCGUAAGUCCUUCUAAUAGACCAACAUAUCUGCGGGAAAGGAUCUGCUUAGGGACAGUGAGACAUCAGCAAAUACAACCACGGAACCAUAUCCAAAUUGUAGCCCAAAACUUGUACAGGAGUGAUACUUCCCAAACACCUAUGCAGUCUGGAAUAUUUGGCAGAAUGGGGACGAGUGUAAAAUAUUUCAAUUGUGAGACACCGGAAAAGGCCAGUGCCAUUCAUUGCCUACACAGAAUGUGUAGGCCAGAAACACCAAUUUGGAACUUGAGAUUCUCAGGUUGAUUGUUUAAAGGCAGUAGUAACUAUGCUUUUCUGUUCUUUUCAACGUCAAGAAGAGACAAAUUUAUUGAUUAAAAUUAAGGAACCCAAAAAUUCCUUUUGCACCAUGGUGUUAGUAUGGUCAUCAAGCAUCCAUCUCCAUGUAUUGAAAAACCAACAGCCCUUUGGUCAGGGAAACAGAUGUUUAGUCUUAUUCUUUGACCCACACUUGGGAAUCACAUUAGUGAUUCAAUGGUGGUCAAUUUGAGAACUAAAGGAAAACAAUACUUAAAAAAUAAACUUGUAUUUUUGCAUCACUGAUGUAUUUCUUUUGUUUCGUAAUUCAGAGGUGCCAGCAGGUUGAGUUGAUAAAUCUUCAAUUGGCUCUGGUUAUCAAUUUUUUAAAUGUGUUAUUGCGUCAUUACGGACAGGAUUUCGCCAUCGAGGCUGUGUGGAAACUGCCUUGUAGAUUCUUAUUACACGAUGAACUGAGGAUUUUCCAUCGUCAUUGAAGAUGUCAUCGGUAAUGCUUUUUCACGGAGUUUGUUUAGUUUUCUAAUUUUUAUCAUUCCGUCAUGUUUGGUGAAACACUGCUGGAAGAAAAACAGAUACUUCGGGACAAUGGUAAGGCUGCGACAAAAAAAUUUGUCUUCUCGCCAUAAGUCAGCUGCUUUGCCUUCCCGGUUACAAUGAAGAAUUGUAAGAAAUUUCACUGAAGAUAUUCAGUUUGUUCAUGAUGUUUUCCGAGCUGUCAUCAACAUCCUUGAUACACAAUCGCCUUGAUAUUACCUUAUAGAGAGUGAAAACAUCGGCAAAGUGAUGAUGACCUACGGGGUUCAAGGAACGUCAACCACUUCAAACAAUAUGCUGGAUGUCUUUAGCACAAUGGAAAUUUGAGUUGUCAAGGUGAACAAAAAAACACUCAGGCGUACCACAAUUAUAAAGGAAAACGGUAUACAAUGAAAAGUCAAAGCAUAAGUGACGAUCGUCCGUCGCGUUGUUUUCGGAAACGAUGAGUUGUCACAGUGAAAUCUUUUGCAUCAACAAAAACUGGUUGACUGAUAGGAAAGGAGUCCGUUUUGAUGCUUUCGUCGUUAAAAGCUUGCAAUAGAUGGUACUUUUAACACUGCUGAGCUGGCUACUGAUGUGCAAUUCUUAUACUGAGAAUUCCUGAGUGCCAUUGAAUUACGCCGAUGAAAUUCCAAUCCUGGAGUUGGAUUUUACUGUUGUACAUACUAGAAUCUCAUAUAUACGACAGUUUUAUUUUACUGUGUAGUCGUAUUUUACUUGUCUAAUAUACAUGUAUAUACCGGUU